CAGGGCUAGGGGAGGGAAGUUGGAUGUUCAGUCAGCAUAAGAGGGAGAAAUAUCACAGGGCUGGGCUUUUCAUGCAUAAGAGAGAAAUCUCACAUGGCUGGGCUUUUCAUGCAUAAGAGAGAAAUCUCACAGGACUGGGCCAUUCACGCAUAAGAAUGAAUAAUUUAUAGUUUAAAUCAUUUAAAUCUAAAUUUUUGUCCACCAAUAUGGCAGUGAAGCAUGAAGUUUUUAUUAAUUUUUUUAUACACACACACACAAGCAUACACAAUGCUGUAAAAAAGUGUUUGCCCCCUUCCUGAUUUCAUUUAUUAUUGAAUAUUUGUCACACUGAAUGGUUUCAGAUUAUUAGACAAAAUGUAAUAUUAGACAAAGAAACUAAGAGUAAACACAAAACACAUAAUAUAUAUUUCAUUCAUUUAAUAAAAAAAGUUAUCAAACACCCAUAUCACCCAUGUGAAACAGUAAUUGCCCCCUAAGUUACUUAAUCAAGAAUUUAACCAAAUUUAAUUGAUAAUUAGAUUCAGCGGACUGAACACAGCCAGGCUUAAUUGCACCCAGCCCUUUUGAAUCUAAACCUCACUGAUACAGAACUUUACCAUCAGAGUGAGGUUGUCACAGUUUCUACAAGCACAUUAUGCCAUAAUCAAAGGAAAUCCCAAAAGAGGUUAGAAAAAAGUUGUUGAAAUACAUCAGUCUGGUAAGCCACUAUCACCAAAUGGGGAACACUUGGAACAGUGGUGAAUCUUCCCAUGAGUGGCCGGUCUGCCAAAAUUUCUCAAGGAAAACUCAUCCAGGAAGUCACAAAAGAUCCCAGAAGAACAUCCAAAGAACUCGCCUCAGCUUUGGUCAGUGUUCACGCCUCCACAACAAGAAAGAGACUCAGUAAAAAUGGAAUUCAUGGGAAAGUAGCAAGGUGGAAACCACUGCUAACCAAGAGAAAUAUCAAUGCUUAUCUCAUAUUUGCAAAGAAAAGAACCUGCAUGGACCCCAGGCCUUUUGGGAUAAUGUUCUAUGGUCAGAUGAGUCAAACUGGAACUUUUUGGAUGACACGGGUCCCAUUAUAUCUGGGGUAAAGCAAAUAGUUUUUUUUUUUUGAAGGUAGAGAUUGAAGGUGAAACUCACUUUCCCCAUCAAAUGCACUCCCGCUCGGCACAAUGACAGCACUUCGUAUAACUAGUCAAAUUAGGCGACUCGGCUAAAUGCUACCUAUUGCUAACAACAUUAGGCCUUCUACAAAAUGCGGUAUGAAUAAACAGACAAGCUGGGCAACUUAUACGUUAUUACUAACAUUGUAAAUAGAUUUAUGUGGGUGAGGGUGACAAAUUCAGUGUUUUUUCUAGUGGUAGGCUAUAGACCUUUCUCAAGUCAAUUCGCACCUUGGCCAUUUUCUAGAGCCGGUUUUGAAAUUUCACUUAUCUACUUAACCUUAAACGACCUUUACUUUAAACCUUUUGAAACCAAACACUUUCAUUUUCAUUAGUGCCAAAUGCACGCGUGUAGCUUACUCACCCAACAGGACGCAAAAACUGGCACAUCUUAUUUCCGGCUGGGAAUGAGACAUCUGAUUAAAAACUAUUAGUAAUAGUAUUACGUGAAAAUUCCUUAAUUUAAACUCUCUCCAGCAAAUAAGACGUCUUUUCUCCGCUGGCUAGCUUCGCAUGUCUGGCUAAAGUUAA